rnacentral:rRNA from 1 species
GGCUUAGAGUUUGAUCAUGGCUCAGGACGAACGCUGGCGGCGUGCUUAACACAUGCAAGUCGAACGGGGAAUAUUCUGACAGAGACUUCGGUUGAAGUCGUUAUAUUCCUAGUGGCGGACGGGUGAGUAACGCGUGGGUAACCUGCCCCACACAGGGGGAUAACAACCAGAAAUGGCUGCUAGUACCGCAUAAGCGCACGGGGCCGCAUGGCCCAGUGUGAAAAACUCCGGUGGUGUGGGAUGGGCCCGCGUUGGAUUAGCCAGUUGGCAGGGUAACGGCCUACCAAAGCGACGAUCCAUAGCCGGCCUGAGAGGGUGGACGGCCACAUUGGGACUGAGACACGGCCCAGACUCCUACGGGAGGCAGCAGUGGGGAAUAUUGCACAAUGGGGGAAACCCUGAUGCAGCGACGCCGCGUGAAGGAAGAAGUAUCUCGGUAUGUAAACUUCUAUCAGCAGGGAAGAAAGUGACGGUACCUGACUAAGAAGCCCCGGCUAACUACGUGCCAGCAGCCGCGGUAAUACGUAGGUGGCAAGCGUUAUCCGGAAUGACUGGGCGUAAAGGGUGCGUAGGUGGUUUAGCAAGUUGGCAGCGUAAUUCCGGGGCUCAACUCCGGCGCUACUGCCAAAACUGUUGAACUUGAGUGCAGGAGGGGUAAGUG